AGUGAACGCUGGCGGUAGGCCUAACACAUGCAAGUCGAACGGCAGCACAGUAAGAGCUUGCUCUUACGGGUGGCGAGUGGCGGACGGGUGAGGAAUACAUCUGAAUCUACUUUUUCGUGGGGGAUAACGUAGGGAAACUUACGCUAAUACCGCAUACGACCUACGGGUGAAAGCAGGGGAUCUUCGGACCUUGCGCGAUUGAAUGAGCCGAUGUCGGAUUAGCUAGUUGGCGGGGUAAAGGCCCACCAAGGCGACGAUCCGUAGCUGGUCUGAGAGGAUGAUCAGCCACACUGGAACUGAGACACGGUCCAGACUCCUACGGGAGGCAGCAGUGGGGAAUAUUGGACAAUGGGCGCAAGCCGGAUCCAGCCAUACCGCGUGGGUGAAGAAGGCCUUCGGGUUGUAAAGCCCUUUUGUUGGGAAAGAAAAGCAGCAGGUUAAUACCCCGCUGUUCUGACGGUACCCAAAGAAUAAGCACCGGCUAACUUCGUG
rnacentral:rRNA from 1 species